UGACGGUAGGUCAGGGUGCACAGAUUGAAGCAGCACAACAGCUCUGAAUGAUACUGAGCGGUGUCACCUUUCUUCUCAGACCAGAUGUUACCACUCGUUUUACUCACCCGGUUAUGAGUUUUCACAACGGACAGAAAGCAUCCCGCAACACUUUCUACACAGAACCUGGCCAGCCCUGCAAUGGGCGGAUGCAGAAGUUACCUCGCGCAGCUUCACUGACGACUAACUGAUGCUCUCUUAUUUGCUUUUUAUUGGUAGCUGUGACAACAACAACCAGGGAACAUUCCUCAGUGUGCUCUUAUUAUCAAGUCUGACAAUGGGAUGCUCAGCCAUGGGCAGAAAGAGGAUUCUUUUAAAAGUCUGUUCACAACCUCGCAGGAAAUGAGUCAAAAUCUUCAGAUACACUCUCGGUCCUGUUCAGGCAGUAUGGAUAAACAUCUUACCAAGUCCCCAGUGUGGAUUCCAAGACCAGUCAAUGGCAAGUACCUUUUCUUGAUAGCAACAGGCAUGUCUUUUCCCCACUAAGGCUUGUCAAGAAGAUUUACCUAAAAUAGAUCAUGUUAUAGUGCUCAGUCUUCAUACCCUCAGAGCUAUUCCUCCAUGUUCGUCUGUUACUUGACUAUUUUGCACUGCUGAGAACAAUCUAACCCUAUUUUUGUGGCAAUCUCAGAAAAUGAAAGAUCCCUUUCUGGCCUCCUUGCACCUAGCUCACUUAUAUCUCAGGAUAGGAAUCCACAGUCCCGCCUCUCUCCAGAUUAACUUUUUAUUCUACUUUUUCUCUAUUGUGAUUAUCUUAACAGGUCUGAAUCAACAUUGGCAUCUGCAGGAGUUUUCUCUGUUACGGACAAUGGCAGAGUUAACUGAUGAACAUUUAACUUUAAUUGGGCAAAAUACCAUUAUUCAGAGCAGAAAUUUAGAAUUAUAGAAUUUAUAAAAUUGCACACCCUUAGUUUACCAGUGACAAAGCUUCCAAAGGCUGAUUAUCAGUUCUGACACAGGAAAGAGAGUGUACAUGAACAUAAAUAUUAGCCAGAGUUCCUUCAGAAAAAACAUCCAUAAAGCAGGAGUACCUGUCAGCAGCAGUAGUCCUAUAUAUCUAAAAUAAUAAAUAUAUAUUAUUCUAUGUGGCGUUCCUCAGGGGUUGGUAUUGGGACUGGCACUGUUCAACAUCUUUGUCGGCGACAUAGACAGUGGGAUCGAGUGCACCCUCAGCAAGUUUGCCAAUGACACCAAGCUGUGUGGUGUGGUUGACACGCUGGAGGGAAGGGAUGUCAUCCAGAGGGACCUUGACAGACUGGAGAGGUGGGCCCGUGCAAACCGCAUGAAGUCAACAAGGCCAAGUGCAAGGUCCUGCACAUGGGUCAGGGCAAUUCCAAGCACAGCUACAGCCCAGGCACAGAAUGGAUUGAGAGCAGCCCUGAGAAGGACUUGGGGGUGCUGGUGGACAAGAAGCUCAAUGUGACCCAGCAACGUGUGCUUGCAGCCCAGAAAGCCAACCAUGUCCUGGGCUGCAUCAAAAGAGGCGUGACCAGCAGGUUGAGGGAGGUGAUUCCACCCCUCUACUCCGCUCUUGUGAGACCCCACCUGGAGUACUGCGUCCAGCUCUGGGGGCCCCAAUAUAAGGACAUGAAGCUGUUGGAGCGAGUCCAGAGGAGGGCCACGAAGACAAUCAGAGGGCUGGAGCACCUUUCCUAUGAGGACAGGCUGAGAGAGUUGGGGUUGUUCAGCCUGGAGAAGAGAAGGCUCCAGGGAGACCUUACAGCAGCCUUCCAGUACCUGAAGGGGGCCUACAGGAAAGCUGGAGAGGGACUGGUUACAAGUGCAUGGAGUGAUAGGAUGAGGAGUAAUGGCCCUAAGCUGAAGGAGGGUUGAUUUAGAUUAGAUAUUAGGAAGAAGUUCUUUACUGUGAGGGUGGUGAGGCACUGGCACAGGUUGCCCAGAGCAGCUGUGGCUGCCCCCUCCCUGGAAGUGUUCAAGGUUGGAUGGGGCUUUGGGCAACGUGGUCUUGUGGGGGGUGUCCCCGCUCAUGGCAGGGGGGUUAGAACUAGAUGGUCUUUAAGGUCCCUUCCAAUGCCAACAAUUUUACGAUUUAUAAAACUACAAUAAUAUGGGAAUAUUCUACUCAUCUACAGCCUCUGUUAUGCCUUGCUGUAAUAAUAAUAUUUGAAUCCUCUAUGCUACAGUAACACUGUUUCUGCUAUCACCAUGACACUUUCUAAGUUGUAGCAGUAUUUUGGAGUAAGUUAAACAUAAAAAUUUUCUUAGCUCAAUAAAUUGGAUUAUUUGACAUAUAAUGAAAACAACUAUCUAUAUUUACAUUGAUGUUUAGGCAGUUUAGCAGCUUAGGCACAUCCUGGUAGCACAUGGAUUUCCUUCCUACUUCUUCCUUCAUUUUGAUUCUCUGCUAUUUCAAGAAAUAGAAUAAACAAAUUGUUUAUUCUGUUUCAAAAAAAUAGAAUCUGGAAAUGACACUUAAGCAAUUAAAAUUGGGAAUCUAUUUAUAGGCCAGAACAGCAUUUAUUCAUACACACAUGCACAAAAGUUUUUAAUUCAGCUUUAUCACAUCUCCUCUAAUAAUGAUAUCCUCAGAUUGUUUCUCUUUUGUUAAACUUUCUUAGCAUCAGUCACUGGAGUAAAUGUAAUCUCAUUUUAAUUUUUAAAAAUGGAAAACUAAUGCAGUAAGACACAAGGCCUAUUUUUCAUUAACGUAGCCAUCAGAUCAGACAUAAAAUUAAUUAUUAGAAUGCAUUCAACAGAUAUAUCAUAAGACAUGAAAGCAAUUAUAAACCAGUUAUUUUAUCAUUGCGCAUGAUGCUAUUCAUUGUUCUGGCAUUUUAUAUAGGAGAAAUUUCAAUCUGUAGAACUUUGUUCAUGAAAAUGGACAACCAAAAUCUGCAUGUUCUGUUUAUUGCUUGCUUUAUAGAAUUGCUUAGGUUGGAAAAGACCUUUAAGAUCAUCAAGUCCAACCGUUAACCUAGCACUGCCAAGUCCACCACUAAACCAUGUCCCUAAGCACCUCAUCUCUGUGUCUCUUAAAUACCUCCAGGGAUGGUGACUCAGCCACUUUCCAGGGCAGCCUGUUUCAAUGCUUGACAACCCUUGCAGUGAAGAAAUUUUUCCUAACAUCCAAUCUGAACCUCCCCUUGCACAACUUGAGCCCAUUUCCUCUUGUUCUAUCACUUGUUACUUGGGAGGAGAGACCAACACCCACCUGGCUUCAACCUCCUUUCAGGUAGAUGUAGAGAGCAAUAAGGUCUCCCCUCAGCCUCCUCUUCUCCAGGCUAAACAACCCCAGUUCCCUCAGCCACUCCCUCAUAAGACCGGUGCUCUAGACCCUUCACCAGCUUCAUUGCCCUUCUCUGGACACACUCCAGCACCUCACUGUCCUUCUUGUAGUAAGGGGACCAAAACUGAACACAGUAUUCAAGGUGCGGCCUCACCAGUGCCGAGUACAGGGGGACAAUCACAUCCCUACUCCUGCUGGCCACACUAUUCCUGAUACAAGCCAGGAUGCUGUUGGCCUUCUUGGCCACCUGGGCACACUGCUGGCUCAUAUUCAGCCGGCUGUCAACCAGCACCCCCAGGUCCUUUUCCUCCGGGCAGCUUUCAGCCACUCUGCCCCAAGCCUGUAGGGUGGCCUGGGGUUGUUGUGACCCAAGUGCAGGACCCGGCACUUGGCCUUGUUGAACCUCAUACAGUUGGCCUCGGCCCAUUGAUCCAGCCUGACUAGAUCCCUCUGUAGAGCCUUCCUACCCUCAAGCAGAUCGACACUCCUGCCCAACUUGGUGUCAUCUGCAAACUUACUGAGGGUGCACUCAAUCCCCUCAUCCAAAUCAUUGAUAAAGAUAUCAAAGAGAACUGGCCCCAGUAUUGAGCCCUGGGGAACACCACUUUUGACUGGCCACCAAUGGGAUUUAAUCCCAUUCAUCACAACUCUUUGGGCCUGGCCAUCCAGCCAGUUUUUCACCCAGUGAAGCGUACACCUGUCCAAGCCAUGAACAGCCAGUUUCUCCAGAACACUGUGGGAAAUGGUGUCAAAGGCUUUACUGAAGUCCAGGUAGACAAUAUUCACAGCCUUUCUCUCAUCUGCUAAGCAGGUCACCUUGUCAUAGAAGGAGACCAGGUUAGUCAAGCAGGACCUGACUUUCAUGAACCCAUGCUGACUGGGCCUGAUCACUUGGUUGUCCUCUAUGUGCCACGUGAUGACACUUAAGGUGAUCUGCUCCAUUACCUUCCCCAGCACUGAGGUCAGAUUGACAGGCCUGUAGUUCCCUGGAUCCUUCUUCUGGCCCUUCUUGUAGAUGGGUGUCACGUUUGCUAACCUCCAGCCAGCUGGGGCCUCCCUGGUUACCCCGGUUACCCAGGACUGCUGAUAAAAUGAUGGAAAGCGUCUUGGUGAGCACUUCUGCCAGCUCCCUCAGUAUCCUUGGGUGGAUCUCAUCCAGCCCAAAGACUUGUGUGUGUCUAAGCGGUGUAGCAGGUUGCCAACCAUUUCCUCUUGGAUUAUGGGGGCUUCAUUCUGCUCCCUGUCUUCCAGCUCAGGGGGCUGGGUACCUGGUGAACUACUGGUCUUACUGCUAAAUGCUGAGGCAAAGAUGACGUUAAGUACCUCAGCCCUUUCCUCAUCCUUUGUCACUAUGUUUCCCCCCUGCAUCCAAUAAGUGAUGAAGAUUCUCCUUAGCCCUCCUUUUGUUGUUAAUGUAUUUAUAGAAACGUUUUUUAUUAUCUGUUACUGUAGUACGAAGAUUAAGUUCUAGCUGGGCUUUGGCCCUACUAUGCCCUUCUCCCUGCAUAGCCUAAUGUAGUUGUCCUGAGUUGCCUGCCCCUUCUUCCAAAGGCCAUAAACUCUCCUUUUUUUCCUGAGUUCCAGCCAAAGCUCUCUGUUCAGCCAGUUCUCUUUUAAAUUUGAAUAAACACCAAUUAUUCUAAAAGGCUAUUUUUGACAUUGAUUUAUUCACAGCCAGAGCAAGAUGAUACCAUCCUGGCCAAAAAUUGUUGUUCUUUAAUUCUGUUUCUAUAUAAAAGCAAGUAGAAAUCAGAUCAAAACUAGUCUUUGGGUUGUUUACUUAGGAUAUGAUUUUAAGGAAUCUUUGGGAAUUAAGAUACUAAACUUCUGCUCACUUUCUAAAGACUAAGUUAACUCCCUUUUGGUUUUGAAAAUUACAUACCUAUAACAAAAUUUAGCAAUAUUAAAAACCCCACUACAUUCAGCAAAACACAGAAGUCAUAAUUUUUAUAUGGAAAUCAGCACCAAACUGCUGUCACGUUAGACAGGCAAACAAGAGAUGCAGGGCAAGUCAAAUCAUGAGACAAAUUAAUCCUUCACCAGGUUAGGAACGAGCGAGUUAACCAGCCCUUCAGCUUCAUCAGGUCUGGAGGGAUGAGAAACUAGAAUCCUCCCUUACACUGAGAUGCUUAAAAACUGGUGCUUUUAUCAGAAGAAUCGUCCUCAACUGCCUUCAUCCUAUUUCACCUUCCCAAGGGGUGGGUCCUCCGUUGGCUGGCAGUGAGGGUCUUCGCAAUGCCUCUGCAGGGAUUUCCUACAGCAGAGCCUUACUAUUUGUCCAUACAUUGUAGCACAAUGAGUGCCUUAGAUACCUCUUGCAAAAAAAGUUUUAUAACUAUAUACAAACUGAAGUUUAAUUCCACAUUUUUAUUUCUUUCCCAAUAUUUUGCAGAUGGCACAAACUCUUUCCAAGGCAGUGAUACCUCAAUUCACUCUCUAACUGAAAAGCAAAACUACCCAUGAAAAAUACUCCUCUAUUUGUUUGACUUGCUUAUUGGUCACACUGCUAAAGAGGAGAACAUCUUUCAGAUUAAACACGACUACUUCUGCUAAAGUACUUUAAAACACAUUCCUACAUAUAUUGCUUUGGGACAGUGCCCUAAGUUUUCCUGUUUCCAACACUGCACGGUCCAAGGUAAGGAGGUUGCUUUUCUACCUUACUAGGAAAGACAGAAUUAUUUUUCCUCCUCACUGUGAUGAGGCAACCCAGAAUGCAAAUCUGGAAUGGUUAGUUGCCUUUGAUUUUCCUUCUAUUAUUGAGAACAUUGCAUCAUUAGAAAUCUGGGCUCAUGGUAAAUGGCAAUCCCAAACUUGUAAUGCUGUUACGCAUUUUUUCACUGCUGUGACCUUUAAUGUAGCAGAAUAAGUUCAACUUCUUUAUAUAUACUUUUUAUACUUCUGUACAAAUCUAUAUAAAUAUCUAUAUUUUUUCCUCAGCUAUUACUCCAUAGAUUUCAAAAGGAAGAUAAAUACAAAUGGGAAAUGUAAGUAAUAGGUAAAAAAUGUAAAAAUACAUUUUUCUGUUUUGAAUAAUUCAUGUUAAGCCAUUUGACUACUCUCAGCACAGCUUAAGAUAAGCUGAGAUAAUUUUUCUGAACCUUCAUUAUUUAUAAUUUACAGGAAAAUCUUUGAACUAAAAUAUAGAAUAAGUGUUGCAGCAGAUAACCACAUUUACUCCCUCUUGCAUACCACAGAAGCAAAGAAAAAUUAAAGGAGGGAUAAAAACCUAAUUGAGAAGUAAUCCUAAUUGCAAAUUGUACCAUUAACAGCUCACAAAUUGUAAUUUUAGCAGAUUGUACUGUCAUUUUACUGUAGUCAGGUUUCUUAUUAGUACCCUAAAAUAACAGGGACUGAAAUACGUGAAGUUACUUAAUCCUGACAACCAGGCCUGUGGCUACAAGAAAUAAAUAUUUAUGCUAUGGCCAGAUUGCUUUUGUAGGUAGUGUUAUUUGGUAAUUGUUUCAAAGAGAGUAGUUUAACCUCAAGUUUUAUCUGUUAAUAUACCAGAGCUACUGAUUAUUGCUUAUUUCUUAACCCAAUUUCACUGAGAUUUCACCUGACUAAAGCACGGAAAGGCAAGCUUUCCUAGGAAGGGAAAGGGGUAGCUCUUCUCCACACAGCCUGAGAAAUAUUUUCCCCUUGCUUGAGAUCCUUACUGCCAAACUAUUUUGAAGGCAAGCAGAAUGAGAAGGGAGCAGUGAGAUUGGCACAGUAGAGUACUGCAAGAGGUCAGAGAAUGCUGCAAGCAAUAGGGGUAUCACAAAAAGUACGGAGGUAACGUUAAGAUGCUUCUACAAGGAAACGUUAUAGAGAUAUGUACUAGACCACUCAGAAGCUUUUAUUCCUCUGAUUAACAAACAUUUUAACUUUCUUUUUAAGGUAUAACUUCUACCAUAGUAACCUCUUCAUUGAGUUCUACAGGCUUCUGUAUGUUGGGCAAAACAAUGAUGGUUAUAUUGUCACGUAAUCAGUUUUAAUUUUUCCCUGGCCACAUCGUGCUUGUUUGGCUGGGAUAAACUUAAUUUUCUUCAUAGUAGCUAUCAUGGGGCUAUGGUUUGGAUUUGUGCUGGAAGCAGUGUUGACAACACAGGGAUGUUUUAGUUGCUGCUGAGCAGUGCUGACACAGAGCCAAGGGCUUUGCUGCUCCUCACCCCACCCCACCAGCGAGGAGGCUGGGGGUGCACAAGGAGUUGGGAGGGGACACAGCGGGGACAGCUGACCCCAACUGACCAAAGGGAGAUUCUAUACCAUAUGAUGUCAUGCUCAGCAUAUAAGGGGCUGGGGGAAGAAGAAAGGAAGCAGGAGGACGUUUGGAGUGAUGGCGUUUGUCUUCCCAAAUCACCGUUACGCAUGAUGGAGCCCUGCUUUGCUGGAGAUGGCUGAACACCUGCCUGCCCAUGGGAAGUGGGGAAUGAAUUCCUUGUUUUGCUUUGCUUGUGUGCAGCUUUUGCUUUACCUA